AUGGGCAGAGCAUGGGAGAGCGAGCAAGCAAACCACACGCACACGCACACGCACCCUUGCUCGACUCCAUCAGAUCAGACGCUCGUUAUUCACGUAUACUCUCACACCAACACACGUACGUACGAGUGCAUGCAGCUUAACAGUUGCAGGGGUUGCACUUGCAGUUGUCGCCGCAGCUGCAGCCCUCGCCGGACUGCCCGGCGGCCACCUCGAACUGCCCCGCCUUGUUCUCAGGCGCCACGCCGAGGACGACCACGGCGGCGACCUGGGCGGCGGCGCUGCCCUGCUCCGUCAGAUCAGGGUACAUCCUCCAAAUCUGUGAACCCAAAAAGAUUUCAAGGAGAAGAAGAUGAGCUUUGGUAUCGGGGAUGA
rnacentral:rRNA from 1 species